rnacentral:lncRNA from 1 species
GCUCUCACAGGUAGAUGAAGCAAACGCCGAGGUGCUGCAGCUGUGAGCAGGAGGAAAAUUAAGCUGUGAACUGGAAUUCCAUCAGGCUGUCUACUGUGAAGCCCUGUGGCUUUAGCAAAGGGGCAGCAGUGGUCAGAAAUGACACUCAAAAGACUGAUUUUGCAACACUGAGAAGUUCUGGAUGGAGGGAUGAGGUGCUGGGCUACCAGCAGGGCACAGACAAACCAUCACCCUCCACGCCUGCCCGCUGGCAGCAGCCACAUGAGAUGUGGGUGGCUCUCGUCUGGUCCCAAAAAGGCAUGUUAAGUGUGAGCUAAAUGUCCUGCCCACCUAAUUAUAAACAGACAGGAGGUGCAAGGUAGGAUUUUGGAAAUGGUUUUCUUUUAGAUUCUGGAGUUGAAAGUUUUUUUGGGGUAAAAUUUUUACACCCUUUGAAAACACCUCUUCAUUGUGGGCCUUCUGUCUCACCAAACCCGCUAGCAGUUUUG